rnacentral:lncRNA from 1 species
AAUCAAAACUCUCUCCUUUAAGUGCACAAGCUGUACUUCGCGUGACAAAUAUUGCUCGGGAGGGCCUUGUUAUAGGUUCCUGACACAAAAGUUAAAUAGUGCAUGGCUGGUUUUAGUGAGUAAUAUCUUUGUUCACCACAUAUGAGCUUUAGUGAGUAAUAUCUUUGUUUACCAUAUAUGAGCUUUAGUGAGUAAUAUCUUUUAUUUAACCUCAUAUAUGAGCUUUAGUGAGCACGGUCUAGAAAAUUCCUUUUGUGCUUGAUUUCCCAUCUUGUAAAUUCUGUGAAAACGUUGAGAUGUCCGGAAUUGCUGCGUAGCAAUCA